rnacentral:rRNA from 1 species
UACGUAGGUGGCAAGCGUUGUCCGGAUUUAUUGGGUUUAAAGGGUGCAUAGGCGGCCCUGUAAGUCAGUGCUGAAAUAUCCCAGCUUAACUGGGAGGGUGGCAUUGAUACUGCGGGGCUAGAGUACAGAUGAGGUAGGCGGAAUUGACGGUGUAGCGGUGAAAUGCUUAGAUAUCGUCAAGAACACCUAUAGCGAAGGCAGCUUACUAGGCUGUAACUGACGCUGAGGCACGAAAGCGUGGGGAUCAAACAGG